rnacentral:rRNA from 1 species
UACGUAGGGGGCAAUCGUUGUCCGGAUUUACUGGGUGUAAAGGGUGCUCAGGUGGUUGCGCAAGUCAGAGGUGAAAUCCUAGAGCUUAACUCUGGAACUGCCUUUGAUACUGCACAGCUUGUGUACGGAAGGGGCUGAUGGAAUUCCUGGUGUAGCAGUGAAAUGCGUAGAUAUCAGGAAGAACACCAGUGGCGAAGGCGGUCAGCUGGUCCGUUACAGACACUAAAGCACGAAAGCGUGGGGAGCAAACAGG